rnacentral:rRNA from 1 species
AUACGGAGGGUGCAAGCGUUACUCGGAAUCACUGGGCGUAAAGCGCGCGCAGGCGGUCUUUUAAGUUGGAUGUGAAAGCCUACGGCUCAACCGUAGAACUGCAUCCAAAACUAUUAGACUAGAGUGUGGGAGAGGAAGAUGGAAUUAGUUGUGUAGGGGUAAAAUCCGUAGAGAUAACUAGGAAUACCAAAAGCGAAGGCAAUCUUCUGGAACACUACUGACGCUGAGGCGCGAAAGCGUGGGGAGCAAGCAGGAUUAGAAACCCUAGUAGUCC